UGAGAGCCCCACUCUGGAGUCAAUAGUUUAUAACUGAGUGAUAAUAUAUAAGAUAGUAAUGGUACCUACAGUAACUCACACGCUAAAUGCAUUUUUGAGAUUGGCAAAAAUGUCAAGGUUAAUUUAGCGCAACGCAGCUCUAUUGAACAGAUAUGCUUUGAUGUCAUCAUUCCUUAGAUCUUAUUGGACAGUAAGAAUUGCCGAUGUUAGACGACAGUGGUGUCUGUUGACAUCAUUAUUGCUGUAUUCUGCGCAUAUCAGAGCACUAACAAGCCAGGUUUCUUGAGUCCAAGAGCACAUUAACCUAUGCCAUCCGUCAAACACUCCCGUCGGGGUAUUGCUUGAGUCUGUAAAACUCCUGCAGUAUCCAGCAGUGACAUUAUUGUAUCGAGUCUAAAAGGGAAUUCUGCUGGGAGAAAGAGAGCUACAGUGUGAAAUUGGAUAUUUUGAAGCAGCAUCAGCAGGGAGGAAGAGCCUACCGAGUGCGUAACGAUGGGUACCCUCUCUGGGGGUGCGGAUAUCAAAAGAAGCAGCCCGUUCAGACACACGCCCGCGUGGAACAGAGACGCCAAAUGACAAGACAUAAGUUACAAAGAGGUUUUGUUCGACACAAGAGGGGAUUUCAUUCUGCACUGACAACAAUACAAAUCCUGUUCUACUCGUCUCCAAGGGCUGAUCGCCGGACCGGUGCGUUUUACGCACAUCUUUUCCUGGAAUAACCACCCUGCCCCGACGUGGAUCAGCUGUUGUCAGCCUGAGCUGAAGGUGACCUGUUGGCUGGGCCAGGGGCUGCAACACAGGACAUGGGUCCUGCCUCUCCUCCCCGCUCGUGUCUUGUGUUGCAGCCAGUGGAUCUGCCUGUCUGCCUCUCCGCAAGUCUGUCCGCCCACCGCUGCUGGACUGAGCUCCCAGAACAGAUGGAUUUCACCAACCUUGGACCUGUCGACCCUGCUCCUCACUUUACAGCUCGCUUGUACAUUAUCACUAUCAUUCUAAGUAUAAUGUAUAAUUUUUAAAAUUGACAUAUUGUCCUCUCACAAGGCAAUAAAGUACUUAAGUAAAAA